AAAAAAAAAUUCCCGCCAAAACAAAUUUCCGCCAAAUUUUUUCUCAACCAAAAAAAUGAUUUUAAAAAUCCUUGUAAAUAUUUUUUGGCGGGAAAUAGAUUUUAAAAGGGGUUUAAAAGAUUGACAAGAUAUUUUAAAAAGGUUUAAAAAAAUUUACAAGAGAUUUUAAAGAGUUUUAAAAGAUUUACAAGGGAUUUUAAAAGGGUUUUAAAAAAUUUACAAGUAAUUUUAAAAGGUUUUAAAAUCCCUUGUAAAUAUUUCAAAACACUUUUAAACCCUUAAACAAUCUUUAAAAACUCUUUAUAAAUCUUUUAAAGCCCUUUAAAUUUUCUUGUAAAUAUUGUAAAACCCUUUUAAAAUCUCUUGUAAAUAUUUUAAAAUCCUUUUAAAACAAUUUUAAACCCUUUAAAAAUCUUUAAAAGACCUUUGUAAAUCUUUUGCAUCCCUUUAAAAUCCCUUGUAAAUCUUUUAAAACCCUUUUAAAAUCUCUUGUAAAUCUUUUAAAAACCUUUUAAAAUCCCUUGUAAAUUUAUUUCCAGCCAAAAAAAAAAAUUGGCGGGAAAAAUAUUUUUGAAAACAAAAUUUUGGCGGGAAAUUGUUCUUUUGAAAAAUUUUGGCGGGAAAUUUAUUUUGGAAUAUUUUAGGCGAAAAAUAUUAAUAUUUCAUUUUGUUAACCUAAAACAAUUUCCAAAUAAGGGUAAAAUGGUCAUUUAAAAUUUAAAGAGGGUAGAAAUAAAAAUUGAUAAAACAAAAGGGUAGAGUUAAAAAGGGGCAUCAUGAAAAGGGCAUUAGAAAGAAUUUUUCUUGAAAGUUGCCUAACUUGAUUCUAAGCAAACAAUUUUUUGUUCCAUGUAUUCUCUCCUAAUCUAGUAUUCCAAUCACAUCAUGAUAGGCUCAUAGCUAAAUAUUGGAUUAACAUAAUUUGAAUAACAAAUAUAUAAACUACUCAUUUGCUUUAAAAGUUUUCACAUGAAAGAGAAAAAAAAAAGCAUAAAUUAAAUAGUCUUUUGAGUCAACACUUUGUUUCUCUCUUUGCAUUUGCAUAUAUCUAUAUUAGAGAAAGCGUCGUCUAUUGAACUUUUUGGUAUACCUAACGUCUCAAAAGAUCACUACAUAAAAAAUAUGCAUGUCAUUAUUAAUGUUACCAAUUUAUCAUAAACACACAAAAAACCAUAUCAAACAGCUAAGUUAAAAAAUGUAAUAAAAAAAAAGACUAAGUUAAAAUUACUAAACUUAAAACGGUUAAGUAGCACACAACUAAUUUGUAAUAUACAAAAAUUUCUAGUCAUUAUCAAGUAAUGAUUAUUAUACAAAUAGCAAAAAUAAGAAAAGUAAAAUGAAAGUAGUGUUUGAUACAUUAACAUGAUUUUUUGUAUUUUUUCUUUUAAAUAAAGAUAUUUUGUUAAGAGUGAGAUUAAUGGAUGAUUUAAUGCAAUGUGAAACUUUAAAAUUUUUAUCACUAAAUUUUGUUAUAUUUUAAU
rnacentral:sRNA from 1 species